UACGGAGGGUGCAAGCGUUAUCCGGAUUCACUGGGUUUAAAGGGUGCGUAGGUGGGCUGGUAAGUCAGUGGUGAAAUCUCCAGGCUUAACUUGGAAACUGCCAUUGACACUAUCAGUCUUGAAUACCGUGGAGGUCAGCGGAAUAUGUCAUGUAGCGGUGAAAUGCUUAGAUAUGACAUAGAACACCAAUUGCGAAGGCAGCUGGCUACACGAAUAUUGACACUGAUGCACGAAAGCGUGGGGAUCAAACAGG
rnacentral:rRNA from 1 species